UGGGGGAAUUUUGGACAAUGGGCGAAAGCCUGAUCCAGCAAUGCCGCGUGUGUGAAGAAGGCCUUCGGGUUGUAAAGCACUUUUGUCCGGAAAGAAAUCCUUGGCUCUAAUACAGUCAGGGGAUGACGGUACCGGAAGAAUAAGCACCGGCUAACUACGUGCCAGCAGCCGCGGUAAUACGUAGGGUGCAAGCGUUAAUCGGAAUUACUGGGCGUAAAGCGUGCGCAGGCGGUUUGCUAAGACCGAUGUGAAAUCCCCGGGCUCAACCUGGGAACUGCAUUGGUGACUGGCAGGCUAGAGUAUGGCAGAGGGGGGUAGAAUUCCACGUGUAGCAGUGAAAUGCGUAGAGAUGUGGAGGAAUACCGAUGGCGAAGGCAGCCCCCUGGGCCAAUACUGACGCUCAUGCACGAAAGCGUGGGGGAGCAAACAGGAUUAGAUACCCUGGUAGUCCACGCCCUAAACGAUGUCAACUAGUUGUUGGGGAUUCAUUUCCUUAGUAACGUAGCUAACGCGUGAAGUUGACCGCCUGGGGAGUACGGUCGCAAGAUU
rnacentral:rRNA from 1 species